ACUCAAAGGAAUUGACGGGGGACCGCACAAGCAGCGGAGCGUGUGGUUUAAUUCGAGGCUACACGAAGAACCUUACCUAGGUUUGACAUCUUGCCGAAUAGCUCAUGAAAGUGGGUUAGUCCCGCAAGGGACGGUAGGACAGGUGCUGCAUGGCUGUCGUCAGCUCGUGCCGUGAGGUGUUCGGUUAAGUCCGCAAACGAGCGCAACCCUCGGUGCCAGUUACAAGUGUCUGGCGCGACUGCCCGUGGCAAACGGGAGGAAGGUGGGGAUGACGUCAAGUCAGCAUGGCCUUUAUAUCUAGGGCUACACACACGCUACAAUGGCGCGUACAAUGGGUCGCGAACCCGCGAGGGGGAGCCAAUCCUACAAAGCGCGUCUCAGUUCAGAUUGCAGGCUGCAACCCGCCUGCAUGAAGUUGGAGUUGCUAGUAACCGCGCGUCAGCAGAGUGCGGUGAAUACGUUCCCGGUCCUUGUACACACCGCCCGU
rnacentral:rRNA from 1 species